UGCACUUCAUGUUUGCUCUUAAUGAUGCCU
rnacentral:piRNA from 1 species